UACGAAGGGGGCUAGCGUUGUUCGGAAUUACUGGGCGUAAAGCGCGCGCAGGCGGUCCUUUAAGUCAGGGGUGAAAGCCCAGAGCUCAACUCUGGAAUUGCCUUUGAAACUAGAGGACUUGGGUACGGGAGAGGUGAGUGGAAUUCCGAGUGUAGAGGUGAAAUUCGUAGAUAUUGGGAAGAACACCAGUGGCGAAGGCGGCUAACUGGUCCAGAUCUGACGCUGAGGUGCGAAAGCGUGGGGAGCAAACAGG
rnacentral:rRNA from 1 species